CUCCUGGACCAAUAACACAAGGAAUUUACACUCAAUUGCAAGGCAGGAUGCGGAAAGACAGAUGGAAAUUUUACAUUUCCAGGUUAGAAUCUUCAUUAACAUGACUUCAAAUUCGACUUCAGAAACUUCUGGAAAGCAUUUGAUAUAUUCAAUACACAUAGAACUGAAAAAAUCAGCAGCUCUCUUUUCCAAGGGCAUUGAGAAUACAAUAUUGGACAAGAAACAAUCAUCGUCUGCCUUCCAGAGAGAUUAUGGUAUGUCAGGGAAUACACGAAGUAAGCAGGAGAACAAUCAGCACACUUACUCUCCAGUGUGAUAAGCGCUACAAAAGGAGGAAGUGCUGGAAGAAGGAGGCUGAGUGUCAACUUGAGGAUCAGAGGUGGCUCUGGAAACAGGUGGCGUCUAGACUGAGACUGGAAGAAAGCAUGCCCUCAGGUGAAGAUUAAGAAAAAAGGAGAAAUUUGAACAUAGAUGUGUGUUCUGGGAGGACCUCGUGUGGAGUUAUGCUGCCACAAGCCAAAGAACUACCAGAGGCUGGGAGAGGCUUGGAACAGAUUUCUUCUCAGCACCUUCGGAGGGAGCAUG